rnacentral:rRNA from 1 species
ACUCCUACGGGAGGCAGCAGUGGGGAAUAUUGCACAAUGGGCGCAAGCCUGAUGNAGCCAUGCCGCGUGUGUGAAGAAGGCCCUUCGGGUUGUAAAAGCACUUUCAGUUGUGAGGAAGGUGUGUCGUUAAUCAGCGGCAUCAUUUGACGUUAGCAACAGAAGAAGCACCGGCUGAACUCCGUGCCAGCAGCCGCGGUAAUA